ACAUUAAGUAGAGGUCGCACUGUAUAUUAGUAAUUUAUGUGAUAUGUCAGGCAUAGAUGAUCAUGAAUGAAAGGCAGCAGUGCCGAAGCGUCACAGAUCCUGAGGCUGUGGCCGCUGGGAAUAUGAUGAAGAGUCAUAUUACUGUCAUCACAGGAUGGAGAGCUACUAAAGUA
rfam:Butyrivibrio sp. CAG:318 genomic scaffold, scf107